rnacentral:rRNA from 1 species
AUACGGAGGAUGCGAGCGUUAUCCGGAUUUAUUGGGUUUAAAGGGAGCGUAGGUGGGAUAUUAAGUCAGCUGUGAAAGUUUGGGGCUCAACCUUAAAAUUGCAGUUGAUACUGGUUUCCUUGAGUACGGUAUAGGUGGGCGGAAUUCGUGGUGUAGCGGUGAAAUGCUUAGAUAUCACGAAGAACUCCGAUCGCGAAGGCAGCUCACCGGGCCGGAACUGACACUGAUGCUCGAAAGUGCGGGUAUCAAACAGGAUUAGAUACCCUGGUAGUCCGCACAGUAAACGAUGAAUACUUGUUUUCGGCGAUAUAAUGUCGGAGGCAAAGCGAAAGCGAUAAGUAUUCCACCUGGGGAGUACGCCGGCAACGGUGAAACUCAAAGGAAUUGACGGGG